rnacentral:tRNA from 1 species
GCCCCGGUAGCCCAAUUCUGGUAGCCAGGCGACGGACUUAAAAUCCGUAGAGUGUGGGUUCGAGUCCCACCCGGGGCA